UACGUAGGCAGCGAGCGUUGUUCGGAAUUACUGGGCGUAAAGAGUGUGUAGGCGGUGCUCCCAGUCUGUUGUGAAAUCUCCCGGCUUUACUGGGAGGGUGCAGCGGAAACUAGAGUGCUAGAGGGUGGGAGAGGUAAGCGGAAUUCCUGGUGUAGCGGUGAAAUGCGUAGAUAUCAGGAGGAACACCUGUGGUGUAGACAGCUUACUGGACCACUUCUGACGCUGAGACACGAAAGCGUGGGUAGCAAACAGG
rnacentral:rRNA from 1 species